AUUAAUAGGUAUGUUCUUUAAAUUUAAAGAAUUUGGCGGUGAUUUAGUCUUGUUAGAGGAACCUGUUUUUUAAUCGAUAAACCACGCAAUAUCUUUCUUACCUUCGUUUAACAGUUUAUAUACCGUCAUUAUCAGAUAAUUUUUAGAAAAUUAAUUAUUAUAAUUUAAAUUAUAGAUUAAAUUAGAUCAAGGUGUAGCUAAUAGGUGAGUUAAAAUGGGUUACAAUAAAAUUUAUUUAUUACGGAUGCCGGCUGUCAAUUAGUUGUGCGGAAGGAGGAUUUAAUUGUAAUGAGAAUUUAAUAUGUUCAAAAGAUAUAAGCUCUAAAUCAU
rnacentral:rRNA from 1 species